rnacentral:rRNA from 1 species
AGUAGCUUGCUUCUUUGCUGACGAGCGGCGGACGGGUGAGUAAUGCUUGGGAACAUGCCUUGAGGUGGGGGACAACAGUUGGAAACGACUGCUAAUACCGCAUAAUGUCUACGGACCAAAGGGGGCUUCNGCUCUCGCCUUUAGAUUGGCCCAAGUGGGAUUAGCUAGUUGGUGAGGUAAUGGCUCACCAAGGCGACGAUCCCUAGCUGGUUUGAGAGGAUGAUCAGCCACACUGGGACUGAGACACGGCCCAGACUCCUACGGGAGGCAGCAUCUGGGGAAUAUUGCACAAUGGGCGCAAGCCUGAUGCAGCCAUGCCGCGUGUGUGAAGAAGGCCUUCGGGUUGUAAAGCACUUUCAGUCAGGAGGAAAGGUUAACGGUUAAUACCCGUUAGCUGUGACGUUACUGACAGAAGAAGCACCGGCUAACUCCGUGCCA